rnacentral:siRNA from 1 species
UAGCUAAUGUUGUGUACCGCAUA